ACAUUUAAAACAACCUCGCAAGCCAGGCUCUCUACUUCCGCUUACCUCCCUAACACGCUCCAGCUGGAGCGUGUUAGGGAGGGAAGCGGAAGUAGAGAGCCUGGCUUGCGAGGUUGCAUUUAAUU
rnacentral:miRNA from 1 species